rnacentral:snRNA from 1 species
GUGCUGGCUUCAGCAGCACAUAUGAUAAAAAUGGAAAGAUUCAGAGAAGAUUAGCGUCACUCCUGCACAAGGAAGACCUGCAAAUUCACGAAGCAUUCCAUAGUUUU